GUAGGUAGUGAUUUUUAUUUAUUUAUUUAUUAUUUAUUUAUUUUUUUUGAGAUGGAGUCUCACUCUGUCGCCUAGGGUGGAGUGCAGUGGCAUGAUCUCGGCUCACUGCAAGCUCUGCCUCUCAGGUUUAUGCCAUUCUCCUGCCUCAGCCUCCUGAGUAGCUGGAACUACAGGUGCCCGCCACCACGCCUGGCUAAUUUUUUAUAUUUUUUAGUAGAGACAGUGUUUCACCGUGUUAGUCAGGAUGGUCUCGAUCUUCUGACAUCGUGAUCCACCCGCCUCGGCCUCCCAAAGUGCUAGGAUUACAGGCGUGAGUCACUGCACUCAGCCAGGUUUUCAGGUGCUGGUUCCAUGGCUCUUCCUGAGCCGAAAAUAAGGAAACUCCAUAGACCUUGUCCACUGGAACUCGUUCCCAUCUACCCUCCACUCUAUCCAGCCCCAUGAGGACAAGGAACAUGAUUGGUUUUGCUCACUGCCGUAUCUUCCGUACCUAGUACGUAACAGGACAUCAAUAAAUAUUAGUUGAAUGGAAGAUUAAAUCAACAAAAUGGGUGAUGGAUCUCUGCAGUAAGUGGAAGAGUUCUUCAUGGCCCCCAAGGUUAUAUCCAUCUAGAACUUCAGCACGUAAUUUCAUCUGGAAAUAGUGCCUUUGCGGAUAUAAGUUAGGUAAAACUGAAGAUGAGAUCAUACUGGAUUAGGAUGGGAUCUAAAUCCAAUGAAAAUGUCUUCAUAAAAAACAGGAAAGAACCCAUAGAAACACAAGGAAGAAGGUCAUGUGAAGAUGGAGGCAGAGAUUGGAGGGAUGCAGCCACCGGCCCAGGAAUGCCAGCAGCCACCCAGAAGCUGGAAGGAAAUGAGGGAUUCUCUCCUAGAACCUUUAGAGAGAACAUGGUCCUGUGAACAGCUUGAUUUUGGACUUGCCCAUAGCUUGUAUACUCUUACUUUGGAUACAAUUUUAUCCAAACUUGGCUAAACAGUUUCUCAGCCUAUGGAAAAUUUAAAAUGGAGAAGAUUCAACUCGAUUCUUACAGAUUCAAAGCAAGAAAAUGAUGGGAACAUAGGAGGAGACCAAGAAAGCCUAUAAAAAGCAAAAAUAUGAAGUGAACAUUGUGGUAGCUUUAAGAUGUUUAGUGUAGCUGCAGGCACCCUAUACACAUGAAAACCCCCAAGGGGAAUCCCCAUAUCACAGUGUAGUGUGAUAUUUGACAUUCGUGAUCAUCUAGAGAUGUACAGAAAAGGUGAAUCUGUGUUCUGUAUAUUCUGCCUAAGGCAAAGAAAUGUUUAGCUCUCUUUAAAAUAGUUCCAUAAUUUUUUCUAAAAAGCUUUGCUUGAAAACUGUAAGCUUCCCAUAUCUGGAGCAUUUCACUUUAAAUAUUUGGAUAAAUAUGUUAUCUUCUUACUUGGACAUUUCAUGUGUUUAGGGAUUGUCUUCUAAAUUCUUCCUAAUUCAUAUAGCUGCUAACACUUCCCGCAGAGCUAAACCAUUACAGAUAUGAAAUAAAGACCUAUUGAUUUGACUUACUUUUACUUGUAAAACCUUCUGAGUGUUAUAACCUCAUUUAAUCUUUCAGCAUUUACAGUUUCAAGAGUUUGUGUCACAAUUAGAAGAAUUCAGCUGCACCUCCAAGUGACAGCAGUUGCUCUGGUUGGUGGGUGAUCUCAGGAGGCUUGAGAAUUGCUUUGUCUGUGAGGGAAGUAAGACAUUUUCAGAGCCCCACUUUAGAAGGUGUGAACUGGCUAGAUAAUGAACCCCAGGGCUAACGCUGCUAUAGCAGUGGGAAGGAGGUGAUGGGUUUUCAGUUUGGACCUCAAACAUCAAUACCCUCCUGGUACGGGGAGGAACAGAGUCCCUCCUUUACUUCUCCAUUAGAAAGAAUGAGAUGGCAAGACAAUGAAACAGGCAAAGUGAACAGAGAUGCAAGACAAAAUUCAGGUGAGAGAGCCAGAGCAUCACUCAGCCAUUCCUGACAUGUAAAACAGGCAACUAGAAAUUUGCAGAAAGGAAGCGAAGUCUCCAUAAAGAUGUUUUUAAAGUGAGCUUGAAGUAUUUGGAGACAAUUCAGUGUUACAUAAAAUCUGCAAAUCUCUGGAUAAAGAAGCAGAGAUCCCAGCAUGGGACAAAUGGAGCCUCAAAAGUGGGAAGAAGACAGAGAAGACCAGGGCAGAAUGCAUCUCUUCCUUUCUCUUGGCUUUCCUGGAUAAGGACUGCAUCAUUCCUGUGGAAGGACAGGCCAUCAGCUCCGAAACACUGUAUGUAUUUUCCAGUAUAUACUGCUAGCUGUGUGAUGUUGGGAAAAUUUGUUACCCUGUCUAACCCCCACUUCCCUCAUCUGUAAAAUGGAAAUAAUGAUAGUACCUACCUAUCUCAUAGGUGGCAACUACAAGGGGCAGCACACUCAGGGAAUUAAGGAAGUUUCAGUGAACAUCAACUUUAUGAACACAGUGUUCAUAAAGGCAGGUCAGUGCAGUGGUUUGGGAGCCAGGAGAAGCACGUGGGCCGGAGUGUGCCUGCAGGAGACAAGGUCAGAGAUGUUGCUAAUAAUGGAGAAUAAAGGAUGCAUUCUCAUUACUGACCUUGGAGUCGUUCAUUCAUUCCCAGAAUGUGUUUUGUCAGCUUACUAAAACACUAAGUUAAAUAAUCCCAGGUUUUGUUUAUU
rnacentral:lncRNA from 10 species